rnacentral:rRNA from 1 species
GAUGAACGCUAGCGGCAGGCUUAACACAUGCAAGUCGAGGGGUAUAGUUCUUCGGAAUUAGAGACCGGCGCACGGGUGCGUAACGCGUAUGCAAUCUACCUUUCACAGAGGGAUAGCCCAGAGAAAUUUGGAUUAAUACCUCAUAGUAUAGCAGUUUCGCAUGAAACCACUAUUAAAGUCACAACGGUGAAAGAUGAGCAUGCGUCCCAUUAGCUAGUUGGUAAGGUAACGGCUUACCAAGGCAACGAUGGGUAGGGUCCUGAGAGGGAGACUCCCCCACACUGGUACUGAGACACGGACCAGACUCCUACGGGAGGCAGCAGUGAGGAAUAUUGGACAAUGGGCGC